rnacentral:miRNA from 12 species
UGCUGAGGAAGGUGCUCAUUGC